rnacentral:rRNA from 1 species
GACGAACGCUGGCGGCGUGCCUAAUACAUGCAAGUCGAACGAACCGCGACUAAGUGCUUGCACUAAGUCAAGGUGAGUGGCGAACGGGUGAGUAACACGUGGGUAACCUACCUCAUAGUGGGGGAUAACAGUCGGAAACGACUGCUAAUACCGCAUAGGACAUAGGAUCACAUGAUCCAGUGAGGAAAGGUGGCGCAAGCUAUCGCUAAGAGAUGGACCCGCGGUGCAUUAGCUAGUUGGUAGGGGAAGGGCAUACCAAGGCGAUGAUGCAUAGCCGAACGGAGCGGGUGAGCGCCCACAUUGGGACUGAGACGCGGCCCAAACUCCUACGGGAGGCAGCAGUAGGGAAUCUUCCGCAAUGGACGCAAGUCUGACGGUGCCACGCCGCGUCAGUGAAUAAGGUCUUCGGUUCGGAAAGCUCUGUUGUUGGAGAAGAACAGCGUAUAGAGUAACUGCUAUGCGUGUGACGGUAACUAGCCAGAAAGCAACGGCUAACUACGUG